UGGGGGAUAUUGCACAAUGGGCGAAAGCCUGAUGCAGCGACGCCGCGUGGGGGAUGAAGGCCUUCGGGUUGUAAACUUCUUUUGCUCUGAACAAGGCGCACCAUGGGGUGUGUUGAGUGUAGGGGUUGAUUAGCGCCGGCUAACUACGUGCCAGCAGCCGCGGUAAUACGUAGGGCGCGAGCGUUGUCCGGAAUUAUUGGGCGUAAAGGGCUUGUAGGUGGCUGGUUGCGUCUGUCGUGAAAGGUCAUGGCUUAACUGUGGGUUUGCGUUGGGUACGGGCCGGCUUGAGUGCAGUAGUGGAGGCUGGAAUGCCUGGUGUAGCGGUGGAAUGCGCAGAUAUCAGGAGGAGUACCGGUGGCGAAGGCGGGUCUCUGGGCGGUUACUGAAACUGAGGAGCGAAAGCAUGGGGAGCGAACAGG
rnacentral:rRNA from 1 species